rnacentral:tRNA from 1 species
AGUAAAGUCAGCUAAUUAAGCUAUCGGGCCC